rnacentral:rRNA from 1 species
UACCAGCACCCCGAGUGGUCGGGACGAUUAUUGGGCCUAAAGCAUCCGUAGCCGGUCCUACAAGUCUUCCGUUAAAUCCACCUGCUUAACAGAUGGGCUGCGGAAGAUACUAUAGGGCUAGGAGGCGGGAGAGGCAAGCGGUACUCAGUGGGUAGGGGUAAAAUCCUCUGAUCCAUUGAAGACCACCAGUGGCGAAGGCGGCUUGCCAGAACGUGCUCGACGGUGAGGGAUGAAAGCUGGGGGAGCAAACCGG